rnacentral:rRNA from 1 species
UGGCGACCGGCGCACGGGUGCGUAACGCGUAUGCAACCUACCUGUAACAGGGGGAUAACACUGAGAAAUCGGUACUAAUACCGCAUAACACUAUGAGAGGCAUCUCUUGCGGUUGAAAGUUUCGGCGGUUACAGAUGGGCAUGCGUUGUAUUAGCUGGUUGGUAAGGUAACGGCUUACCAAGGCGACGAUACAUAGGGGGACUGAGAGGUUAACCCCCCACAUUGGUACUGAGACACGGACCAAACUCCUACGGAAGGCAGCAG